UGAAUACAGAACUUUAACCAAUCACGUCCUGCGUUUCAGAAAACUCCAUCCAGGCGUUCGGCAACGGCUCAGACGACCGCACGGCGUCCAGCCACCCGGCCACGCCCCCCCCGGCCACCGAGACCCUCAGCGCGCCGCCGGUGCCCACCGCACCCGUAUCCAUGGAAACGGAGCAGAGCAUUCUGAGGGCACAGAUCCCCACUCAGGAGAACGACAGACUGUGGGGAGACGAGGAGGACUCCACCCUUCCGUCCCCGGGCCUGUCGGACGCCAGCUCCAAGCCCAGCCUGGGGCCCCUCCUGCUGGGCACGGCUCUGCUGCUGCCUGGCCCUCUCUUCCACCUCCUGCUGCUCUCUGCCUAGCCCCCCUCCCCCCGCACCGCCCAGCCGUGCCCUCCUGGGGCCAGGGUGGAGAGAGGGACAGACUCGUUUUCAAGUGUGGAGAGAGAGGGAGAGAGAUGGACAGAGAGGCUUCCUCCCUCCCUAUCUCCUCCUCCUCCUCCUCCUCGUUCUCUAAACAUCACUCGAUCUCUUUGGCGACUCUUGGACCCGGGAGGAGCCGACUCGGAGCGGAGGAGGUGCUGACCAAAUCAACGUCGACAGGUUUUCCCUGUAAUCCCAGUCCAUCGUCACUCGCUCCUGCUGUUAAAACGGGAGGGGCAGGAAUACCAUCAGACUAGUGCAACACACACAAACACACACUCGCGGAAAACUUUUGCUCAUGGGAUCACAACAGCGGUCAGGGUGUCCAUCCAAACGGAGCUGGGAAGGGGUUCGGAACGUGUACAGAAUAGGAACGCCGUUUUCUACUAAAGACGCCGCACAGCGAAACACUGAGGAUGGAGUUUUGUUUUUUCCGGAACGUUCCUAAAUGUUUAAAAAAAAUUAUGAAGAAGAAAUUGAAAAUAAGAUUAAUAGUAAUUGUUGAAGAUUUUCCUGAGGUAAUCUGUGGCCGUACCGUAUAUGAAGUAAGAUGGUUGUGUGUUCGAGGUUCUCAUUGUGCCUCGUUUGUUUUGGGGUCACAUCUCUGUGCGUGCGAGUGGUGAGUUGGUUUGUGUGUUCGGUGGAAGCACAUGGGGUCACCGCCCACAUAACGUUAAUCGUUGUUUUUCCUUUCAACGUGUGACGAGUGAUUUUUCUGAGAGCGUUUUUUCAUGCUCACCUCCAUUGGAAAUGUGAUUAUUUUGUCGGGUUGUUCAGAGAUAUUUUUCCUAUUUUCUUUGAAAUCCUGCCGGAAUUUGAUGGAAUUCAGAGUAAAGCACAAUUCUGGUUUACUUUCUGUUUUGCUCACGUCAACAUUUACUUUACUACACGUCUAAAGAAUAAUGUUUGUCACCAACUAGUGUCGUUUUAUCAAACAGUACUUUUCAUACAUCAAGUGUCAUCGUUUUGAACGCGUCAGGUGUAAAUAAUGUGAUUCUGGUCCUGCGAGAGGAGAGAUGUAUACAGCAUAUAUAUAUAUUUUUAAUGUACGUAGACUUUGCCACAAAAAAAAAAGAUUCUACCUUAAAAGGCUAUGAAAGGUUUCUGACCAAUCACAAGAAGAGGACGGGGAACAGGGGCGUGUCUGUUUAGGGACAGGGCCUUUCUAGCUAAGAGGCGCACACCUGUUGGAUACUCUAUGGACAAGCACAUACCUGACACGUGUGUGUGUGUUUGCUGAUGUACAGAGGGAGAUUGAGAUAUUAUGUUUGUAAAGAUAAACCCUUGUGUUUCUUAACAUCUGGUUUGGUUGCUUCAAAACAACACGCCUAGUAAGAUGCCGUACGUCCAGAUGUCACUCUGGACACAGACAGUACUUGAGGACACACACACACACACACACAUAAGGUAUGUGAGGACAAACACACAGAAGGUACGCGGGGACACGCACACACACAGACGGUAUGUGAGGACACACAAACAAACUGUAUGUAAGGACACAUACAGUACGUGCACAAUAAUCCUCGUCGUUCAUGGCUGGGUUAAACAGGACCUGUGGAGAGAGAGAGAGAGAGAGAGACACCUUCAGUAGUGGACCUUGAGGACUGCCAGGAUCCAAUGUUUACUGCUUCUGUCAAACACAACACAUCAGCAAACUGUACUCGGUAUUUAUGAGCUAUGCAUUUGUUUUUCGACAUCUUUUUGCAGUCAUACCACAUGCGUUGAGAUGGAUCUGAAGAGACUUCUAAGUCCCUCACUCGAGCACACUCAUGUUUCAGUUUCAGUUCUCAUCAGACAUGCCCUGUGUUCUUCCUGUGAUGCUAAAUGUGCCAAUAUCACUGCUGUCUCCUGUCACGCCAUUGGUUUAGAGCCCCGUGGGACUUGAUUGGUCCGUUAAUGAAUCAGACUGAGGAUGAUUGGUCCUCUGACCCACUUCCUGUUUCCUGUGGCCAUAUGUGGACACAAGUCACUGCUAAUAAAGACACUGUACAUGGAGACAGGGGGACUUUUAUUGUGUGCAACGUUGUUCAAGUUGUCCGUGUUAUCAUUUUAUUUUGAAGGGCAGAAAUAUUAAAGAAAGGAUUCAUAAUUUUUCAUUUUCAAAUCACAUCAAAUGGAACAAUCUUUGGUCCGAUAUAUGAAGAAGUUCAUGAAUUGAAUGAAAUAAAAUUCUGUAAAAUACA